GGAGAAAAUCUUUAUAAUUACUAUAGCCUUUCCUGGAAAACUUGUCUCAGACUAUGUAGUAAUCCUUCACCCCCAAUACAGAUUGGGCUUUCAUUUUUGCCAGAGCUGUAAGGGAGCGCUUACAGAGAGCUCAAUGUGUUUACAUUUGGUAAAGGGAGAUUCUGCCACAUGCCAAGCACAAAAUUUAUUCUAGCAUCUCAGCCUUUUAAUCUGGUAUAAAAAACCAAAACAGUGGGUGAGGGCUUCUUAUCUUACAUGUUUUCAGACUUCCAAAGUAUCUUCUUCUGCUACAUGAAAGAAUGCUGCAGACUGCUAUGCGACAAAGGAUUUGUCUGGUUCAUCAAAUCUUUUGCCUGAGGACUUUUACGCCUCCAGUAUAUACAAUGAGGCACCUUCAAUUUCUGCUAGCUACAUUAUUCUUUAACAAACCUCUGCCCUACUAUUACUAUAGCCCUAAUGUAAACUAUUCAGCAAUGCCCACAAUUAACCGCAGGAUGAAUUGCCUCGCAGCACAGAGAAAGAAAUUAUGACUUGGAGACCUUUAAAAUCAAUUCAAUCAAACUGAUAGAAUGCUUCCAGCGCUUGGCCUGGGAGCAAAGCACUUCUCAGCAGGCCUAUCAGGCCCAAUGUGGGCAAAGCAAGCUCUCAAUGCCUCCCAGCUGGGGCACACGCAUUUGUGCAGAGCAGCCUCUUUUCUGGUCUAUGAUCCCAUGUCAGACCCGGUUAGGUGAUGGGUCAUUCAUGGUGUUUGGGAAUAGUAAAUUAUUGCUGAUUGUUGAUGUGUUUUUUCACUGCAAUUCUGUAAUACAUUGUUGUGGGGGCUUUUUUUCCGAUAAGAGGUUAACAUUAUUAUUUGUUGAAGAAGACUAUGAGUGUGGUUUGUGAAGUCUGUAAGUUUUUUGAGGCCAUUAAUCUGGGUUUAAACCAGAUUAUCUAGCUAAUAUUUUUACUAUGAUUUUUCGUGUUUGUGUGGUUUGUUUUAAUACACUUCACAUCGUGAAUCCUUUGCUGUACAAGCUGAUAGGAAGUUGAAUUAGCAAAGGGGGAGUAAUGAUGUGGGAAUAAGAAGCAGCAAGCAUAGGAAACAGGCACAGGGGAAGCUUCUCCUACAGCAGCACAGGCAUACUCUCGCUUGAUAUAGAAGAAUAUAGCCAGUGUCUUCCUGAUGGUCAUGGAAUAUUUUUAAAAAAGUAAUGUAGGAAGGAUUGUUUACAAUCUAACGCCUACAGCUGGGCUGUCUUUCAAAUCUCCUUUUCAUAUGUAGAAUCUCCUAAAUCUUUUUUUCCUUAUUAAACUUGAAAAUCAGAAGUCACAAGCUCAAGAUUCAGGAUAAAAUUCUGUGAGCUGGUAAUGCUAAGUGCAUAGGAUGCUAUCAUCCAAAUUACCGAUUCAUUUUUACUUUACAUUUCUGCCUUAUUUCCAGAGAAAAAUCCAUCACGCUUCCUCACCAGCCCAGCCCUGCUUUGCUUAUGAGCCCUGACAAGAUCACAGCUUGAGGAAUAUUUUUCCAAAUCAAGGCCUGACAUGAUAUACAGAUGUACAGUGUAUAAAUACACCUGCUCAGUAGAGAGGAUGUUCUUACGCACUUCAACUCCUGGCAUUCUGCUGCAUGCUCAAACUGCCACAGAUCGUGUUUCCAAGGACAGCUAAUCACACUGCACUUAGCAAAAAAAAACAACCCAACACAAUAAUAUUCAACUAUGGAGUGCUGGAAAAUCCAAGGUUAUGAGAAGAACAACAUAACAUAACAUUUUAAGGAAAGAUAGUAAUCACUUCAUAAAUACAGGUUCAAUGCCAACUGUAGCAGUACCUGAUGUUAGGGAGCUUAAGACACUGAGAUAUUGGUGUUGUUUGACCCAAAGACCAUUCACACCUAAAUGUAUAUUAAAAGAAAAAGACCGAAGACCCUGGCUGUGUGGAAGUCAACUAUUAUGUGCCAAAGCAUGCUCUUUUCUUUGCAAUAUACAUAAUGAGAUACAAUCCCUCACCAGUUCAUCACUCAAAUAGCUAAAUCUGAUUUUGCAGUGAAAAUGCAAUUUAAUCUCAUCAGGUUCCAUAGUGCUGAAAUACUAAACUUAACAAUAGAAACUGAUGUGAUAUGUUUGAAAUUAAAUUGAACCACUACAAACAAUGGGUUUCUUCAGAGACUGGCCUUGACUCAAUCUGUUUUUCCACUUCAUUUUGCAAAGAAAUCAUCAAGUCUAAUGGCUUCAAGCAAUCUAAGCGAUGUGCAGGUUGAAUAAAAAAACCACAAGCAAUGUCACUGGAAAAACACGACACACAAACAAAGAGAAAUUACCACAUGCUGCACUGAAAGUGUUAUCAUUUCCCCAGUCCAUCUGAGAAACUUCUAUCUGAAGCAAGGGAGCCAACUGUCAACCAGGCAAGUCAGGAGAAAGAUUUUGCCUUCCUUAAUGUCUGGAUAAGAGCUUAUGUCUGAAGAAUAUCAUAUGAAUGUUAGUGUCUGAGACUGACAAGAAAUUUGUUGACUUGAACAACUAGAGAACAAUACAUUUGGAAGCUGUAAAGAUUUAUGGACUCCUACUCUGCAGAAGCAGUGAUGAACUGUUUAACUUUACUUCCUCUUAUGGACAGCAUCUGUUUCCUCCGAUGGCUGAAAAAACAUCAGCUAAG